UGGGGUUUGGCUCAGUGGUAGAGCACUUGCCUAGCACAUGUGAAGCACUGGAUUUGAUUCUCAACACCACAUAUAAAUAAAUGAAAUAAAGGCCCAAUGAUAACUAAAGAAUAUUUUUUAAAAAUUAACUAUAAAAAAUUAAAAUUAGAGCUGGGUGAGGUGGUGGACACUUGUAAUCCCAGCAGCUCAGGAGACUAAGGCAGGAUGUUUGCAAGUUCAAAACCAGCCUCAG
rnacentral:tRNA from 1 species